rnacentral:piRNA from 1 species
UGGCUAACUUUUUACUUGCCUUUCGGAAU